UUGAUGCCAUACGUGUCGUACCACUCUCCAAAAGUCGUUUGCCCACCAGUGAAUGAAAACAGUUUACUACAAGAGAUAACAGAUAAUCUACAGAAUAUUCGAUUUAAGGAAACACCAUAGUUCAAGAAAUUCCCCAGGAACAGAAAUUAUGUGGAUGGCCUUCAUUGGAAGAAGGUUAUUGUUGUAAGUACAGCGUGUCAAGACAAGAACGUGUGACUGCAUGUGAAAACUAGUUUCCAAUCACUCUGCAUGCAAUUGCGCUUUAAAGACCUGGAACAUGACCUUCAUUGGUUCAUUAAGCAUUAUAGAGCGGCAGACAGUGAUCAACUUGAGAACUGUUGAGAUAUUUACAACCAAAUACAAGAAUAAAUACGACGUUUUUGGUCAACACGGAGGUCCGAUU
rnacentral:lncRNA from 1 species